GACGAACGCUGGCGGCGUGCUUAACACAUGCCAGUCACGGGGGCCCGCAAGGGUAACCGGCGAACGGGUGCGUAACACGUGAGCAAUCUGCCGUCCACUGGGGGAUAGCCGGCCCAACGGCCGGGUAAUACCGCAUACGCUUGCCGGGUGGCAUCACUUGGCAAGGAAACCUCCGGGGGUGGACGAGGAGCUCGCGGCCUAUCAGCUAGUUGGUGGGGUCACGGCCCACCAAGGCGAUGACGGGUAGCUGGUCUGAGAGGAUGGUCAGCCACAUUGGGACUGAGAAACGGCCCAGACUCCUACGGGAGGCAGCAGGGGGGAAUAUUGCGCAAUGGCAGCAAGGAUGACGCAGCGAGGCCGCGUGGGGGAUGAAGCAUUUCGGUGUGUAAACCCCUGUGGCCCGGGACGAACCUCCCCUUUCGAGGGGACUGACGGUACCGGGUGAGGAAGCACCGGCUAACUCCGUG
rnacentral:rRNA from 1 species